CUCUCAGCGGUACACAAAGAAAAAGUCAGAGAGCAUUUUAUGGACUCUGAGAUUCGAGUCGACUUCCGCAAUACGCGAGUCGACUCCAAGACACCGCGACCCCAAGACAGACAGAAAACCAAGUUACUGCCUCUGAGAUUCGAGUCGACUCCCAGACAGCUCGAGUCGACUCCAAGACAAGCUUCACGUCAAAAGGCAGAAGACCAACUUUCGGAAACUGAGAGCCGAGUCGACUCCAAGGAAGUUCGAGUCGACUCCAAGACUGGAUGAGCCAAAAGACAGAGAAUCGGAAGUUCGGGCUCUGAGAUUCGAGUCGACUCCAAGGACAGUCGAGUCGACUCGAGUGGACAAAAUUCAAAAUUGGAUCCACGGACUUCAGUGGAUGAGCCGACU
rnacentral:lncRNA from 1 species